UACGUAGGGGGCAAGCGUUGUCCGGAUUUAUUGGGCGUAAAGAGCGUGUAGGCGGCCUGACAGGUUUGCUGUGAAAACUCGAGGCUCAACCUCGAGAUGUCGGCGGAAACCGUCUGGCUAGAGUCCGGAAGAGGAGAGUGGAAUUCCUGGUGUAGCGGUGAAAUGCGCAGAUAUCAGGAAGAACACCUAUGGCGAAGGCAGCUCUCUGGGACGGUACUGACGCUGAGGCGCGAAAGCUAGGGUAGCAAACGGG
rnacentral:rRNA from 1 species